AGCAGCCGCGGUAAUUCCAGCUCCAAUAGCGUAUAUUAAAGUUGUUGCAGUUAAAAAGCUCGUAGUUGAAUUUCGGGAUCAAUAUAUCGGUCGUGCCAUUGGUACGUACUGGUAUCAUUGGUUUCUCCUUUCUGACGAACCAUGAUGUCAUUAAUUUGGUGUUAUGGGAAGUUAGGACUGUUACUUUGAAAAAAUUAGAGUGUUUAAAGCAGGCUUUAGCUUGAAUACAUUAGCAUGGAAUAAUGAAAUAGGACGUUCGAUCCUAUUUUGUUGGUUUCUAGGAUUGACGUAAUGAUUAAUAGGGAUAGUUGGGGGCAUUAGUAUUCAAUUGUCAGAGGUGAAAUUCUUGGAUUUAUUGAAGACUAACUACUGCGAAAGCAUUUGCCAAGGAUGUUUUCAUUAAUCAAGAACGAAAGUUAGGGGAUCGAAGACGAUCAGAUACCGUCGUAGUCUUAACCAUAAACUAUGCCGACUAGGGAUCGGAUGAUGUUAAUUUUUAAUGACUCAUUCGGCGCCUUAA
rnacentral:rRNA from 1 species